ACAUACUCUAGGAUUGCAGGUUAUGAAAGACUCAUAACUUCCCUUUCAAACUGUGAAUUUCUAAUGCUAAAAUCUCAGCAAGCUCAAAUAGUGAAUGAAGCUGAAAUCACUCAUUAUGAAGAAUUAUAUUCUAAGAUAGAAACAAGGAUUGCAGAAGCACAGCAGGCUAUUUUAGACAAAAAAGCUGAACUUCAACAAUCAAAGAGGGUCA